UGUGGGCAAGGGAAAGCAAGUUGAGGGAGCCCAGCUGAGAGAAGAUCUCUGGCUCGAUCUCCUCCGCCGGGUUAUGGUCAAUCAGUAGCUGCUUCAGCGAGGAGAGGCCGCCGAACGCCUCCUGCAGACGUAGAGGAAGAGAGUGUGGAGCUUUUAAUUUGCAAUACCAACUUCUCCCAGCAACAUAGUCAAACCGCAGCAAAGAAACAGUCACAUAUAACACUGUCUCGAUCUAUUUUACCUGAUAGUGGAUCUCGAUGUUGUUGUUGGCCAGGUUGAGGAAGACGAGGCGGCCCAGAGCACGGAACGCCCCUUCCUUUAUGGUGUGGAUGUUGCUGCGCUGCAUGGACAGGUGCAUCAGAUGUCCUCCAAUGGGCAGAAUCUUUGACUGACAUUGCAUCAGUUGAUCUAUCCAACGCCCAGUGUAUCCCCGCCCCUCUGGCCACACCCAUCCCUGUUAGCGAUGACCCCUCGAGCCCAGUAGCCCCAGUACAGGCCUGCCCCGCAUGCCCUACUCUGUCCCCGUGUCGGAGCACAUGGAGGAGUGCAGCGUGAUCCCCGACGAUCUGGACAGCCUGCUGGGGGAUGACUGCAUCUCCGAGAAAGUCAGCGAGAGGUCCAGGAGCGCCAGGAAUGCCAGUAUGGGGAGAACUGCACGUUUGCCUACUGCCAGGAGGAAAUAUACCUGUGGACCCAGGAGAGGAAGGGGGCUCUGAGAAGGGAGCUGCUGUUUGACCCACUGGGCAGCACCGAGAGACGGGCACUCAGCGUCACACUCCUGCUGCAGCAGCACAUGGGCAUGUUCAUGUUCCUCUGUGAGACUGUUUUGACAGUAAGCCUCCCAUCAUCAGCAAGUGCAGCAAAGAGAACUUGGCUGUCUGCUCAAACCUCACUGCCCGGCAUCCCUUUGAUGAUAAGUGCCUAGUGCAUGUGGUGUGUUCUGCCAACGUGCGCCACAGUAAGGUGCGCCCGCUGCACCCCCUCUGCCAGUUUGACAUGUCGCCACGAGGUGCGUUACGGCUGCCAGCGCGAGGACAGCUGCUCCUUUGCCCACUCCGUCAUAGAACUCAAGUGCUAGGUGCUGCAGCAGGACACCGGUAUCACCCAUGAAGAGAUGGUACAGAAGUCCAAGAGGCUCUGGUACAGGCUAGAGCAAAAUGCUCAGAAACAGAAGCCUGUGCACGUCACACACCAGAGCUGUGGUGGGGGGGAAUAGGGGGAGUGGGAGACAACCUCAGGGGUGGAGGGGAUGGCAGGGGGUUAAACCUGAAGAUGAAGUUUGUCUGUGGCCAGAGUGAUGGACAGGUCCACGAACCAGACAAGGCCCUCAAGUACUGCACGACAGCUGGACUAAGGAGCGUUGGGUAUUGCUGGUAAAGUCUUUGGAGAAGAAGAAGUGGGUCGUUGUGCGGCCUCUUCUCCCGUGCAUACCCACAGCAGUAUGACGCAGUCAUUUCCAGCAGACCUCUCACAUGCUGAAUACAGCUGAUGUUGUUUACAGCUCUCCUCUUCUCGUCUUUACACCUAUAGGCAGCUUGGCCUUUGUUCCACGAUGUGUGUCCAUGUGAUGAAGCAGAAGAAGUGCCACUGACAUCGGGAACUGUUCCUUUGCCCACAUUCUGGAAGAAAGGGACGUCUGGACGUACAUGAAGAACAACAGCUUGAGGGACAUGCAGCAGAUGUUUGACAUGUGGCUCAGGCUGACCAGUCAGAAUAGACUCAAUGAUGCAAGCCUUAUGGCCUCGCCUCUGGAGGAGAAAUGGGUUUCCCUGACAACAGAUUCCACUGAGUCAUUGGAACGUAGAAAGGUGGAGAGUGAAAUAGGACAGAAAUUCUGGAGAUCUGUUGGCGGAUUGGAUUGUCUGACUGACCGACUGACUACAACCUUUUUGUAUACGGUAUUUCAUUUGUUUUGAUGUGAUGUAUACAGUGAUGAUUUAUGUAGUUAGUUGUAUUUGAGGACUUAGUAAGAGUUGAUACGCUUUAUAGUUGUGUGGUAAAAUAAUUGUUAUUGAUUGUAUGAUUAAUACUGGGUUUACGCUACACUUGAGUGAACGGACAAACAUUGCGUGACAAAGGUCACUUGGGUUCUCUGAACUCCUUUACCGGGCUGGACUCUUUUUAGACCCGAGGUA